rnacentral:rRNA from 1 species
AUGCGCGGGGGGUCCGGGUGCCCGGGGUUUGAGGUCCGGGUGCCCGGGGGUGUCGGAUUUGGCCGGAAAAUCGUGGGAAAAUGGGGGAAAUUGGUGGAUUUUGUGGAGGGAAAGGUGGAGAUGAAUGGGGGAAUGCUAUAUCCACUUGAAACCAAGCAAAUCCAUGGAUCAAAUCCAACAAAAUCUCAUCAAACCAGCAAAUCACAAAAAAAAUUGGGGCUAUUUUUGGUGGGGAAUUUUCGAAAUUGGGGAAGAACACACAAAAUUAGGCUAGAAAACAAGAUGGGGGCUCCAAUUUCGUGA